rnacentral:rRNA from 1 species
AGAGUUUGAUCCUGGCUCAGGACGAACGCUGGCGGCGUGCUUAACACAUUGCAAGUCGAAGCGGAAAGGCCCUUUCGGGGUACUCGAGCGGCGAACGGGUGAGUAACACGUGAGCAACCUGCCCUUAGCUUCGGGAUAGCUCCGGGAAACCGGAAUUAAUACCGAAUAAGACACCGGCCGACAUCUGCUGGUGUGGAAAGAAUUUCGGCUAGGGAUGGACUCGCGGCCUAUCAGCUAGUUGGUGGGGUAACGGCCUACCAAGGCGACGACGGGUAGCCGGCCUGAGAGGGCGACCGGCCACACUGGGACUGAGACACGGCCCAGACUCCUACGGGAGGCAGCAGUGGGGAAUCUUGCGCAAUGGGCGGAAGCCUGACGCAGCAACGCCGCGUGGGGGAUGAAGGCCUUCGGGUUGUAAACCCCUUUCAGCAGGGACGAAGCGAAAGUGACGGUACCACCAGAGGAAGCACCGGCUAACUCCGUGCCAGCAGCCGCGGUAACACGUAGGGCGCAAGCGUUGUCCGGAAUUAUUGGGCGUAAAGAGCUCGUAGGCGGUCUGUUACGUCCGCUGUGAAAACCCGGGGCUUAACCCUUGGCUUGCAGUGGAUACGGGCAGACUAGAGGUAGGUAGGGGAGAAUGGAAUUCCCGGUGUAGCGGUGAAAUGCGCAGAUAUCGGGAGGAACACCGGGUGGCGAAAGCGGUUCUCUGGGCCUUACCUGACGCUGAGGAGCGAAAGCGUGGGGAGCGAACAGGAUUAGAUACCCUGGUAGUCCACGCUGUAAACGUUGGGCGCUAGGUGUGGGGUCCUUCCACGGAUUCCGU